rnacentral:miRNA from 1 species
GCAGACACAUUCCAGUCAAUCAGCAGCAGACCCUCCCUCCCAGACCCUCCCACCUCCUGGACAGCAUCCAUUUUACAUUCAUUGUGAAGCUGCAUUCUUAAUGAGCUGUCCAGGAGGUGGGAGGGUCUGGGAGGGAGGGUCUGCUGCUGAUUGGCUGGAAUGUGUCUG